rnacentral:rRNA from 1 species
AUACGAAGGGGGCUAGCGUUGUUCGGAAUCACUGGGCGUAAAGGGCGCGUAGGCGGCUUGACAAGUCAGGUGUGAAAGCCCCGGGCUCAACCCGGGAAUUGCACUUGAUACUGUCUCGCUAGAGUCCGGGAGAGGAUGGCGGAAUUCCCAGUGUAGAGGUGAAAUUCGUAGAUAUUGGGAAGAACACCGGUGGCGAAGGCGGCCAUCUGGACCGGUACUGACGCUGAGGCGCGAAAGCGUGGGGAGCAAACAGGA